AUAAUACUCCAUCCGUCCGGAAUUACCAAUCAUCAAAAUGGAUGUGUCUAGAACUAAAAUACAUCUAGAUACAUCCAUUUCAAUGACAAGUAUUUUCGGACGGAGGGAGUAGUAG
rfam:Triticum aestivum genome assembly, contig: Triticum_aestivum_CS42_TGACv1_scaffold_502973_6BL